UUUCUAGCAGGCUAGUAUGUAUUUAUUAAAAGAAAGAAAUUAUUGAAAGUAAAGGAUAAAGUUCUCAAUUGAUUUCCUGCUCCCAUGGAUGAGCCAGCACCCUGGAGACCACUCACCCUUUCCAAACCAGAGGAGCCACAUAGUUCAUAAGGUAGGUAUGGCCCAGAGUCUUUAGGACAGUAAGGGAAGGCGUGAUGAUCCCACCCCUGCUUGAUGACCACACGGACCUCAGCUCCCCACAAGGUCCUAGCUUGGUUGCGCCCCUCUCCCUUUAAAGCCAGGCUGAAAGACAAGGGCCUGGCGAGCUGGGAGGCAAGGGCUUUCUUGAGACAACACAGGCUGAGAGGCGGAGCAUCGGGGGAACUUUGAAGAAAUGGAAACUGCAACUAGCGGUAGCUGGGGGCAAGGCAAGUGGUUGCAAAAUCGCUGUUCACAGGCUUCAGCGCAGGAUUUCUUCCGAGUUUCAUUUCCUGACACGAGAGUGCCGGCUGCCAUAGUGAACCAAGAGGGCUCCUGGAAAUUGCAUUUAUUUGUAUUUUAUGCUAUUUUUGUCUGUUUUGCUUUUAUAGCAGUUUAAAUAUAAUGAAAUGCACCCGAUUUAGGUGCUCAAUUCGAUAAGUUUUGGCAAAUAUAUACACAGCGUAACCACUUCCUCCGAACUGGCUGGUCCUAUGACCAACCUGUUUCCAGUACAUGGCUAGGCUCGCGACCCUCAAGGGCUCUUCUUGGAAACGCAACCCUCACCCGCCCACCGGAAGAAAUCCACAGGAGACGCCGGCGCAGGCCCGGCUGAGGCGCUUGUGAUAAGCUCUCGACGGCCCAAAAAGCUCGGUCGGUGACGGCAGGAUCCGCGAAGACGUACUCGACGACUUCUCCGCCUCCCCUCAGGCGCCGGAUCAGACGGGGGCGCUUCACCCUCCUCGCGAGACAGCGGAGACCCUGGCGGCGGCUUCGACCCCUGUGACGUAAAGCGCUCAUCACCAAUGGCAACCUUGGGGCGGGGCAGAAAGCGAGCCCCACCCCCAGCUGCCGGCGCGUCAAAACACAACCCCCGCCUUGGUAAACGCCUGCGCAGUAGACGCGCGGCUGCACAGGGGGCGGGGCCUCGGGCGCUCCGGCCCGAAACCUUGCCCUGCCCCCACCGCCGGGCCCAAACCACGAAAGCGGAGACCCUGGAUGGCAGAAAUCAGUACCACCACCAUCAUUCUGGUUAUUAGUUGUGGGAGCUACAGAGGCAGUUACCUGACUUUCGCGCCUAACUUACCCGGAAAACUCAAUCACUAGCUUGAUCUUAAUAAACCUCAACAAACUCUGAGAAGUUGCUAAAAUUCUAGUGAACAGAUAAGGGAACUGUUAAUCGGAGAUUAAGUCUCACCUUCGAUUGCACAGUUAGGAAGUAACACCCGGAUUCGAAUGGGAUUCAAAACCAGGCCCCAACCAGUAGCCUACAAAGUCUUCGGAGUGAGAGCUACUCCAGUCUGGGGAGAAACAGGGUGGUCUGAACUCUUCCUCAGUUAACUUUUUUUUUAACCUCAAAGAACUGCUUUUCCCUUUCUAACUCCAUGAAAUCCGGAUUCAAAUCCUAAAACGAUACCUCAGAUAUAGAGAACGCCUGAACCUGACGUGGCCAUUAGCACAUUCUACUACGCAGGCCUCCAACGGGAGCGUUCCCAAUAUUCUAGAGCUGAACUUCGUAAACUCGCGUGCCAAACUGCUGUGCUUUCGGCUUAAUCUUUCACACACGUGCCAUUCUAAGCACAUAAGGAACAAAUACUUGUUGACUGGCGGGCUUGGCCCCAUCACAUGACGCUGCUGCCAACCCUGGGCGGAAGAAGCCAGCUCCGCCGACCGCAAAGGCUCCAGAAAGCGAGUGGGCGGGCAUUCGUGCCCGGCUGAAAGAUGGCCGCUGCCAGCCGACAGCCAUCACCCGGGAGGUUACUGUAACUCCCGCGGCUUCCACCCGGGCCCGCCGACUGCCGCCGCUUCCUUACCAUGAAGCCAGUGAGUCGCCGCACCCUGGACUGGAUUUAUUCAGUGUUGCUGCUUGCGAUCGUGUUACUCUCCUGGGGAUUCAUAAUCUAUGCAUCAACAGUAGCUGCCCAGCGACAGCUAAGGAAGGAAUACCCUGACAAGUCUUUGGAAUAAGUGAAAACAGUUUGUGAUUCCUCUGGGCUUAAUUCUCUGCAAUACAGUUAUUUUCUUAUUUGACACCUAUGUAGAUUUAAACGUAAAAUUUAUAAUACAAAAUUUUCUAAGUUUA